CCAGACUCCUACGGGAGGCAGCAGUGAGGAAUAUUGGUCAAUGGGAGAGAUCCUGAACCAGCCAAGCCGCGUGAGGGAAGACGGCCCUAUGGGUUGUAAACCUCUUUUGUCGGAGAACAAAACCCGGGACGUGUCCCGGACUGCGUGUAUCCGAAGAAAAAGCAUCGGCUAACUCCGUGCCAGCAGCCGCGGUAAUACGGAGGAUGCGAGCGUUAUCCGGAUUUAUUGGGUUUAAAGGGUGCGUAGGCGGUCCGUUAAGUCAGCGGUAAAAUUGCGGGGCUCAACCCCGUCGAGCCGUUGAAACUGCAUCCCUUGAGUGCGCGAGAAGUAUGCGGAAUGCGUGGUGUAGCGGUGAAAUGCAUAGAUAUCACGCAGAACUCCGAUUGCGAAGGCAGCAUACCGGCGCGCAACUGACGCUCAUGCACGAAAGCGUGGGUAUCGAACAGGAUUAGAUACCCCGGUAA
rnacentral:rRNA from 1 species